rnacentral:rRNA from 1 species
AGAGUUUGAUCAUGGCUCAGGACGAACGCUGGCGGCGUGCUUAACACAUGCAAGUCGAACGGAAAGGCCCUUCGGGGUACUCGAGUGGCGAACGGGUGAGUAACACGUGGGUGAUCUGCCCUGCACUCUGGGAUAAGCCUGGGAAACUGGGUCUAAUACCGGAUAGGACCGCAUGCUUCAUGGUGUGUGGUGCAAAGCUUUUGCGGUGUGGGAUGAGCCCGCGGCCUAUCAGCUUGUUGGUGGGGUAAUGGCCUACCAAGGCGACGACGGGUAGCCGGCCUGAGACGGUGACCGGCCACACUGGGACUGAGAUACGGCCCAGACUCCUACGGGAGGCAGCAGUGGGGAAUAUUGCACAAUGGGCGCAAGCCUGAUGCAGCGACGCCGCGUGAGGGAUGACGGCCUUCGGGUUGUAAACCUCUUUCAGUAGGGACGAAGCGAAAGUGACGGUACCUACAGAAGAAGGACCGGCCAACUACGUGCCAGCAGCCGCGGUAAUACGUAGGGUCCGAGCGUUGUCCGGAAUUACUGGGCGUAAAGAGCUCGUAGGUGGUUUGUCGCGUUGUUCGUGAAAACUCACAGCUUAACUGUGGGCGUGCGGGCGAUACGGGCAGACUAGAGUACUGCAGGGGAGACUGGAAUUCCUGGUGUAGCGGUGGAAUGCGCAGAUAUCAGGAGGAACACCGGUGGCGAAGGCGGGUCUCUGGGCAGUAACUGACGCUGAGGAGCGAAAGCGUGGGUAGCGAACAGGAUUAGAUACCCCGGUAGUCCAA